rnacentral:lncRNA from 10 species
GUGACUUCCAAAGACUCGCCACCCCAUUCCACAGCCUGAGGUGCCACCAAAGCCAUAAGCCCAGGGGAGUCUCUCACACCCCAUUCUCCUAGGGCCCAUGUACCCCACGCCCACCUCCACCCCAGGAGCCGAAGGCCGGCAGGGAGCCUGGAGAGCCUCCUUGAUGGGAGAACUGCGGAGCUUGCCCCUCGGAAAAGUGCAUGGGGUGGAGAACAGGGAAGGAGAAAAAAACAACAACUGGGUACUCGCAGCCCCACCGCGGUGUCCGCUUCGCCGGUGGGAGAGGAUCCUCGCCGCCCUGAAUCCUUGAAAGAAGCCUCUUGAAUGCACCUAUUCCAGCACAGGUGUACCUGAGCAUGGAUCCUCACAUGGACUGUCUUUCUGGAGUGUUUGCAUUUGAAAGAAGCCUACACUGCAGCCAGGAUCCUUGCCGAGCAUCUGCUCUGUACAGGCCGUGUACUAAGUGCUAGAGAGAUGGUGUGGGGUAGAUAAUGGCUUCCAGAGAUGUUCACGUCCUGAUCCACAGAUCCUAUAUGUGAGUGGAAAAAAGCCACAAAUUGAAAAUGUUUUUUAUCUGCUCUCACAUCACAACAAUCAACACAGAAGACUUCUGUGCCCACAUAUGUGAGGAUUUCUCUCACCAGCAAACAAGCAAUCAGUUCUGCAGUGGACACCAGCUGGGUGUCCUCCGAUUCAGUUCUGACACUCUCUACCUAAAGACCGCGUCCGAUCCCAGAGGUUGAGGGCUCUGGGUGUCCUCCGAUUCAGUUCUGACACUCUCUACCUAAAGACCGCGUCAGAUCCCAGAGGUUGAGGGCUCAGUCUCACAAGACUGCCCCCCGACUUCCGCCGCCAACCGCAAGCCCCUGGUUGUUUUACCUGUGCUUCUGACCAAGCAGGUAUAAAUCAGGGUCCCCACUACCCUCCCCCUGGGUUUGAUUAAUUUGCUGGAGCGGUUCUACAGAGCUCAGGGGAACACUGCUUAUGUUUACUGAUUUAUUAUAAGGAAUAUUAUAAAGGAUACCGAUGAGGCGACACAUAGGGUGAGAUAUGGGGAAGGGGGACAGAAUUUUCAUGUCCUCCUCAGAUGCAGCAUUCUCCGUAAACCCCACGUGUUCAGCUACCGAGAAGCUCCUGUACCCCUUCCUCCUGGGCCUUUUUUUUUUUUUUU